rnacentral:misc_RNA from 1 species
AGUCGUAACAAGGUUUCCGUAGGUGAACCUGCGGAAGGAUCAUUACCGAGUGAGGGCCCUCUGGGUCCAACCUCCCACCCGUGUUUAUUUACCUUGUUGCUUCGGCGAGCCUGCCUUUUGGCUGCCGGGGGACGUCAGUCCCCGGGUCCGUGCUCGCCGGAGACACCUUAGAACUCUGUCUGAAGAUUGUAGUCUGAGAUUAAAUAUAAAUUAUUUAAAACUUUCAACAACGGAUCUCUUGGUUCCGGCAUCGAUGAAGAACGCAGCGAAAUGCGAUACGUAAUGUGAAUUGCAGAAUUCAGUGAAUCAUCGAGUCUUUGAACGCACAUUGCGCCCUCUGGUAUUCCGGAGGGCAUGCCUGUCCGAGCGUCAUUGCUGCCCUCAAGCACGGCUUGUGUGUUGGGCCCCGUCCUCCUUCCGGGGGACGGGUCCGAAAGGCAGCGGCGGCACCGCGUCCGGUCCUCAAGCGUAUGGGGCUUUGUCACUCGCUUUGUAGGCCUGGCCGGCGCUUGCCGAUCAACCAAACUUUUUAUCAGGUUGACCUCGGAUCAGGUAGGGAUACCCGCUGAACUUAAGCAUAUCAAUAAGCGGAGGA